rnacentral:rRNA from 1 species
UUAAAUUGAAGAGUUUGAUCAUGGCUCAGAUUGAACGCUGGCGGCAGGCCUAACACAUGCAAGUCGAACGGUAACAGGAAACAGCUUGCUGUUUCGCUGACGAGUGGCGGACGGGUGAGUAAUGUCUGGGAAACUGCCUGAUGGAGGGGGAUAACUACUGGAAACGGUAGCUAAUACCGCAUAACGUCGCAAGACCAAAGAGGGGGACCUUCGGGCCUCUUGCCAUCGGAUGUGCCCAGAUGGGAUUAGCUAGUAGGUGGGGUAACGGCUCACCUAGGCGACGAUCCCUAGCUGGUCUGAGAGGAUGACCAGCCACACUGGAACUGAGACACGGUCCAGACUCCUACGGGAGGCAGCAGUGGGGAAUAUUGCACAAUGGGCGCAAGCCUGAUGCAGCCAUGCCGCGUGUAUGAAGAAGGCCUUCGGGUGGUAAAGUACUUUCAGCGGGGAGGAAGSGCGUAAAGUUAAUACCUUUGCUCAUUGACGUUACCCGCAGAAGAGGCAACGACUAACUACGU